GCUGGGAGGAGCGAGCGCGGGGCAGAGCCUCCUACCGACCUUACCCCCUGCCGUUGGGAGCUCCUGGGAUUCAGCUUCAGCUCUGAGCCCCCGGUGGCAGUGGUUUGUUGGCAGUUAGGGAUAGGGUUAAAACUUGGCCCUAUGCCCUUGCCUGCAAGGGACGUGCAUCCCCCUCCCGGUCCCCAACUGAGGGUCAGACCAGAAGACAAUGGCCCCUCUGAAAUUGUUCAUCUUGAUAAUCUACCUGACCAUUGCUGCAGUCACACAGAGAGAGAGAGAGGCAGAGACACAGGCAGAGGGAGAAGCAGGC